UACGGAGGAUCCGAGCGUUAUCCGGAUUUAUUGGGUUUAAAGGGUGCGCAGGCGGAAGAUUAAGUCGGUGGUGAAAUUUUGCAGCUCAACUGUAAAAGUGCCAUUGAUACUGGUUUUCUUGAGUGUGGGUGAAGUAGGCGGAAUUUGUGGUGUAGCGGUGAAAUGCAUAGAUAUCACGAGGAACUCCGAUUGCGCAGGCAGCUUACUAAACCAUAACUGACGCUCAGGCACGAAGGCGUGGGGAUCAAACAGGAUUAGAUACCCU
rnacentral:rRNA from 1 species